UACAAAAUGAGACAUGACACACGGCGU
rnacentral:piRNA from 1 species